rnacentral:rRNA from 1 species
ACUCCUACGGGAGGCAGCAGUAAGGAAUAUUGCGCAAUGGGGGCAACCCUGAUCCAGCCAUGCCGCGUGAGUGAUGAAGGCCUUCGGGUUGUAAAGCUCUUUUGGCGGGGACGAUGAUGACGGUACCCGCAGAAUAAGCCCCGGCUAACUUCGUGCCAGCAGCCGCGGUAAGACGAAGGGGGCUAGCGUUGUUCGGAAUUACUGGGCGUAAAGCGCGUGUAGGCGGUUAUCCAAGUCGGGUGUGAAAGCCUUGAGCUUAACUCAAGAAAUGCACUCGGUACUGGAUGACUAGAGGACCGGAGAGGAUAGUGGAAUUCCCAGUGUAGCGGUGAAAUGCGUAGAGAUC